rnacentral:rRNA from 1 species
UACGUAGGGGGCGAGCGUUGUCCGGAAUCAUUGGGCGUAAAGCGCGUGUAGGCGGCCCGGUAAGUCCGCUGUGAAAGUCCAGGGCUCAACCCUGGGAUGCCGGUGGAUACUGUCGGGCUCGAGUCCGGAAGAGGCGAGUGGAAUCCCUGGUGUAGCGGUGAAAUGCGCAGAUAUCAGGAGGAACACCAAUGGCGAAGGCAGCUCGCUGGGACGUGACUGACGCUGAGACGCGAAAGCGUGGGGAGCAAACAGG